rnacentral:rRNA from 1 species
GACGAACGCUGGCGGUAUGCUUAACACAUGCAAGUCGAACGAGAAGUUUUUUAUUGACCCUUCGGGGGAUAUAAGAGACAGACAGUGGCGAACGGGUGAGUAACGCGUGGGCAACCUACCUAUCGGAGCGGGAUAGCCUCGAGAAAUCGGGAGUAAAACCGCAUAACACAGCAGAAUCGCAUGACUUUGCUGUCAAAACUCCGGUGCCGAUAGAUGGGCCCGCGUCUGAUUAGCUAGUUGGUAAGGUAAGGGCUUACCAAGGCAACGAUCAGUAGCCGGUCUGAGAGGGCGAACGGCCACACUGGAACUGAGACACGGUCCAGACUCCUACGGGAGGCAGCAGUGGGGAAUAUUGCGCAAUGGGGGCAACCCUGACGCAGCAAUACCGCGUGAGUGAAGAAGGUUUUCGGAUCGUAAAGCUCUGUUAUUGGGGAAGAAGCAGUGACGUACCCAAUGAGGAAUUU